rnacentral:rRNA from 1 species
GACGAACGCUGGCGGCGUGCUUAACACAUGCAAGUCGAGCGGUGAACCACUUCGGUGGGGAUCAGCGGCGAACGGGUGAGUAACACGUGGGCAACCUGCCCCUAGCUCUGGGAUAACCCCGGGAAACCGGGGCUAAUACCGGAUACGACCUCGAGCGGCAUCACUCGAGGUGGAAAGGUUUACUGGCUAGGGAUGGGCCCGCGGCCUAUCAGCUUGUUGGUGGGGUAACGGCCUACCAAGGCGACGACGGGUAGCCGGCCUGAGAGGGCGACCGGCCACACUGGGACUGAGACACGGCCCAGACUCCUACGGGAGGCAGCAGUGGGGAAUAUUGCGCAAUGGGCGAAAGGCCUGACGCAGCGACGCCGCGUGAGGGACGAAGG